rnacentral:rRNA from 1 species
UACGAAGGGGGCUAGCGUUGUUCGGAAUCACUGGGCGUAAAGGCGCGUAGGCGGCCGAUUAAGUCGGGGGUGAAAGCCUGUGGCUCAACCACAGAAUUGCCUUCGAUACUGAUUGGCUUGAGACCGGAAGAGGUCAGUGGAACUGCGAGUGUAGAGGUGAAAUUCGUAGAUAUUCGCAAGAACACCAGUGGCGAAGGCGGCUCACUGGCCCGUACUGACGCUGAGGCACGAAAGCGUGGGGAGCAAACAGG